rnacentral:rRNA from 1 species
AGCAGCCGCCGCGGGAAUACGAAGGGUGCAAGCGUUACUCGGAAUUACUGGGCGUAAAGCGUGCGUAGGUGGUUGUUUAAGUCUGCUGUGAAAGCCCUGGGCUCAACCUGGGAAUUGCAGUGGAUACUGGGCGACUAGAGUAAGGUAGAGGAUAGUGGAAUUUCCGGUGUAGCAGUGAAAUGCGUAGAGAUCGGAAGGAACAUCUGUGGCGAAGGCGACUAUCUGGGCCAUUACUGACACUGAGGCACGAAAGCGUGGGGAGCAAACAGGAUUAGAGACCCCUGUAGUCCCUGUCUCUUAUAC